GGGGCUCGAUGCAGGCGCGGCGGGGCUGAGGCGAGCCGAGCCCGGGCAGCGUCGAGCGGGGCGAGGGCUGGGGCUGGUGCCGGUGCCUCAGCGACCGGGCGGUGAGGGCUGGGCUUGAGCCGCCAGUGAAGGCGAGAGGAAGAGGAGGAGGAGGAGGAAGCAGCAGCGGUGUGAGGAGCUCGGGAGGGGGGGGUGCCGGUGCCACGCCGCAACCAUGGGGAACCGCGGGAUGGAGGAUCUCAUCCCGCUGGUCAACCGGCUGCAGGACGCCUUCGCCGCCAUCGGGCAGAACGCCAACCUCGACCUGCCGCAGAUCGCCGUGGUGGGGGGGCAGAGCGCCGGCAAGAGCUCGGUGCUGGAGAAUUUCGUCGGGAGGGACUUUCUGCCACGUGGUUCUGGCAUCGUAACCAGACGCCCGCUGGUCCUGCAGCUAGUAAACUCCAGCACAGAAUAUGGUGAGUUCCUACACUGCAAAGGAAAGAAAUUCACAGAUUUUGAGGAGGUCCGUUUGGAGAUUGAGGCUGAAACGGAUCGUGUUACUGGCUCCAACAAAGGGAUUUCCCCUGUGCCCAUUAACCUCAGAGUCUAUUCUCCCCACGUCCUGAACCUGACCUUGGUGGAUCUACCAGGUAUGACAAAAGUCCCGGUAGGGGACCAGCCUCCUGACAUAGAGUUCCAGAUCCGAGAUAUGCUUAUGCAGUUUGUCACCAAAGAGAAUUGUCUCAUCCUGGCGGUAUCCCCAGCCAACUCUGAUUUGGCCAAUUCUGAUGCUCUGAAGAUUGCAAAGGAGGUGGAUCCUCAAGGGCAACGCACUAUUGGAGUCAUCACUAAGCUGGAUCUUAUGGAUGAAGGAACUGAUGCAAGAGAUGUACUAGAAAACAAAUUACUUCCUCUACGUAGAGGUUACAUUGGUGUAGUCAACAGAAGUCAGAAAGACAUUGAUGGAAAGAAGGACAUUCAGGCAGCUCUGGCUGCAGAGAGGAAAUUUUUUCUCUCCCACCCCGCCUACAGACACAUGGCUGAUCGCAUGGGAACCCCUUACCUGCAGAAAGUUCUGAACCAGCAAUUGACCAACCACAUCCGUGACACCCUACCAGGGCUGAGGAACAAGCUCCAGAGCCAGCUUCUCUCCAUUGAGAAGGAGGUAGAGGAGUACAAGAACUUUCGUCCUGAUGAUCCUGCUCGCAAAACUAAAGCUCUGCUUCAGAUGGUCCAGCAGUUUGCUGUGGACUUUGAGAAACGUAUUGAAGGCUCCGGUGACCAAAUUGAUACCUAUGAGCUGUCAGGAGGAGCUAGGAUUAACCGUAUCUUCCAUGAGCGUUUCCCCUUUGAACUGGUGAAGAUGGAGUUUGAUGAGAAGGAGCUGCGACGGGAGAUUAGCUAUGCCAUCAAGAACAUCCAUGGUAUCAGAACCGGUCUCUUCACACCCGACAUGGCCUUUGAGACCAUUGUGAAAAAGCAGGUGAAGAAGAUUAAAGAGCCUUGCCUGAAAUGCGUCGACAUGGUUAUUUCGGAGUUAAUCAAUACCGUUAGACAGUGCACCAAGAAGCUCAGCCAGUACCCUCAUCUGCGUGAGGAGAUGGAGAGGAUUGUUACUACCCACAUCCGUGAGCGAGAAGGCAGGACCAAAGAUCAGGUCAUGCUUCUAAUAGACAUUGAACUGGCUUACAUGAAUACAAACCAUGAGGAUUUCAUUGGCUUUGCCAAUGCUCAGCAGAGGAGCAGCCAGAUGAGCAAGAAGAAGGCAGCUGGGAACCAGGAUGAGAUCCUGGUCAUCCGGAAGGGCUGGCUCACCAUCAACAACAUUGGGAUCAUGAAGGGUGGCUCCAAGGAGUACUGGUUUGUCCUGACAGCAGAGAACCUCUCCUGGUAUAAGGACGAUGAGGAGAAGGAGAAGAAGUACAUGUUGCCAGUGGAUAACCUGAAACUGCGAGAUGUUGAGAAGGGAUUCAUGUCCAGCAAGCACAUCUUUGCUCUCUUCAACACUGAACAGAGAAAUGUUUACAAGGAUUACCGGCAGCUGGAGCUGGCCUGUGAGACCCAGGAGGAAGUGGAUAGCUGGAAGGCUUCCUUCCUUCGUGCAGGGGUCUACCCAGAACGUGUUGGGGACAAGGACAAAGCCAGCGAAGCGGAGGAGAAUGGAUCAGACAGUUUCAUGCACUCCAUGGACCCUCAGCUGGAGAGACAAGUGGAAACAAUCAGGAAUCUGGUGGAUUCCUACAUGGCAAUUGUCAACAAAACCAUCAGAGACCUCAUGCCGAAGACAAUCAUGCACCUCAUGAUAAACAAUACCAAGGACUUCAUCCACUCAGAGCUGCUGGCGAACCUGUAUUCCUGUGGUGACCAGAAUACGCUGAUGGAGGAAUCAGCAGAGCAGGCCCAGCGACGUGAUGAAAUGCUGCGCAUGUACCAUGCCCUGAAAGAGGCCCUCAACAUCAUCGGGGACAUCAACACCAGCACUAUCAGCACCCCAAUGCCCCCACCGGUGGACGACUCUUGGCUGCAGGUCUCCUACGUCCAGCCCCACGCCGCAAAGGAGAGCUCCCGCUGUGCCACCAGCCAGACCUGGGUCUCGAGGCCCAGCUCCUGGGCCACCUCCUGCUGGUGGGUCAACACUGGGUGGUGCACCCCCUGUGCCCUCCAGGCCAGGUGCCUCUCCUGAUCCCUUUGGACCCCCUCCUCAGGUUCCUUCUCGACCUAAUCGUGCUCCUCCUGGUGUUCCCAGUCGUUCAUAGACUCCUCCGGAUCCUGAUACCAGCUUGUCAUUUGAGUUCACUGAUGAAUGGAGAAUUUCCAAUGACAAGGGACUCUUUCUCUUCUUCUCCUGUAUAUAGAAUAAGAAUGUUCCCUGCUAGCACUUGGACUCGGGUCCUUCUGCCAUGGGUGAACGAAUGCCAUCUCCACUUUUGCUUUUUUAAUACCCAUCUUUUUCCCUUGCUAACUGGGCUACACUAUUUUGUGUGUGUGGGAGAAACAAAGCCCUUGUAGAUGGCAUGAGUGGGCUGUGCUGUAGGAGUUGGUGCUAUGUAGUGAACUGGAAGUGCAUGGUGGUGGCUGGGUGUACUUAGUGUGCAUGUGCACAUUGAUACCUGUGUAGAAGUUCAGCUGUAUGUUUGUGCCUCCGGUUUGUGUGAGGAUCUGAUUUUAUGGAUGAUGAACUUAAAGAUAAAUGUUGCUCCACUUUUCUCAUAAACACAAUUGCAUAGACAUGCGUUCACAUACAAACACCACAUGGUCCAUUUUCUUACAUGGGAUGGUCUUCCUGCAUAUAAUUAAGUACUCUUCAAACUGACUUUGCACCCUGCCUCUGUACUUAGCGUUUAUUCAAUCUACUACAGAAGUCCAUAUUACCACAUGGAGCUCCUCCAUUUAGGAGCUGAAAGCUGCAAAUAAUAGAAGGUCCUGUCUGUGUAAUGAAGGACUGUAUGUAUUAGGACUGCAUGCUCAUUUGGGAUAUUUAGAAGGAUUUGGUCUGAGAGAAAACUAUCCCACCAGGCACUUAGUCUCAAGUUCAAACUUUGACAAAAGCUAUAGGUGAAAGUUCAGGCAAGUUCAAAGGAGAAAUAAGAAACUUAAAUGAGAAUGACUUAACCACUGGAAAAAUCUGUUGAAGGCAGUAGUGAGUUCUCUGUUCUUUGGUAUGUCUGACGAAAAAGAUUCAAGUGAUUGGAUCACUGUAAACAACUUCACAUUUUUAUCACUUGAGUUACUCAUUAGGUGAAAGGAGCUGAUCUUAUUAUUGGUGACCUUUUAAAUAUCUUCACCUGUCUCCCUCUUCUGGGUAGUACUCAGUGCUCAGUAUGACAUGUUACCUCCCUCUUUCCUGAGCUGUCUGUUUUGACUCUAACACUUAAUAUGGUCAGAAAAAAUACGAAUUCUCAAUGAGAUGAGUCAACCCACCUGUGCCCAGCUGCCUGGUGCUGAGACCUAGAAUCACUAUCAGUGACCCCUGAGGACUGGCAGCCACGAAGGGGCCCUGCCUCACCUACUCGACCUACCAUAAUCCGACCGGCUGAACCGUCCCUCUUAGAUCUAUAACUCGAGGCUGUAGACAGCUGGCGACGAAUGCCGUGCUGGCGGCUUCCCCAUUCCACCCUCCCUUCCACAGCCACAGUCACUCCUCUCAUCCAUCCCACAUCUGCCUCCCACCGCCCCUUCCUGGUGUGUCGUAAAACACUAGCCUAGUGAUUGAGCUCUUCGUCUUCACUCGUGCGUCCUGUAUUGCUUUGUGAGCGUAGAGUAGCCUUCAUUCAGUGGCACGGAUCCCUGAAGUACACAGGCUCCUUGGAGAGAUCAGCCGCAGGGACAUCCUUAAGUCCAAGCGGUGGCUGUCCGUCCAGUUAUUCCAUCUGCCUGGUCUAGCCUGGAUAAGUGUCCUGCCUGCAUCAGUUAGCUGUAGCACCUAGGACUGAUCUGUAAUUAUUCUUUUCUCAUAGUUAAGAAGAUAAAAGUGUGACUUAGGAGCAAAAUGCUGUCAAACGUGACACUGUUAGGAACAGAUUACGUGUCCUGUGUAUUAGUUUGACUUCUAAGGUGCAAAAAUUCAUGUUGGGAACAGUGCAAUCUACCUUAUAUCAAAGCGAGGCAGGGAGAUGGAGAAGGGGGGAACUCAAUGGAUCGGCAUAGUCCUCUAGAGUGAAGUCUGAGAUAGCGCACACACCUCAGCGUGCAGGGAGCACACGGACCUGCUCGUGCUCAGCUCUCCAAAAGGGCUGGGGAAAUCCUGCUGGUGAAGCACUGGCUCCUGCCAGCAGCUGUCUUGCAUCAUCAUUUUUGGCUGACUUUCCUGAACCCAGCAGGGAGAGGGGAAUAGAUACGCUGCUCCCCCCUUGCAAAUGGACAACCAAAUGUUUUCAGGGAGUUUGCGUUGUAAUGUUUUGUUGAAAAUAUUUCUGCUUUGAAUAAGCACAUCUCUCAGUGUUUUUGGUACUGUGGUGACUUCUUCCGUAGCCUUUUCUUGCAUGUGGAUGGUACGUGUUUGGGGAAACUUGUAACUGUUGUUUAUCACGACUCAUCUUCUUAAGGUUUGUUUUUUACUCUUCAUGUUACGUGUAUUAAAAAUACUACAAAAAAAAGACUUCAGAAUUAAAAAUGUAUCAACCCUGUACAUCUCGGAUGUUAUGUCUCUACCAGAAAUGAGCCACCCAUGUUGCAGACUUCCAACUAGGUCUGAUUCAGAUUUAAGUUCUCUCUUUCCAGUGUGAUUGUUAUGAAUUUCUGUUGUGGAUCCUCUAUUGUUCUGAUGACAGUUCCUUUCUGUAUUUUAACUAUUGUUUUACUACCUCUUCCCCCUCUUCCUUCCCUUCCCCCUUUUCUUUCUUGUCUUCAAAUUCCAGCCGGCCGGGUAAGGCCAGUCCCUCCCGCCCGGAGAGCCCAAAACCACCAUUUGACAUGUAGGCCUGCUCCCUCUGAGACUCUUUGCCUGCCUCUUAGCUGUUCUGUCCUGGAAUGGUCUGACUCAAACCUCACACAUGGCUUGUUCUGUUUGUAUUUUGUGAUACACACAUUAUCAGAUGUGACUGUAGUGAAACUGUUUUUUUUUCUCUUCCCAGCUGCUUUAAAGGAGUUAAACAAGUAUAUUGUAGUAAUGAGAAACAUAUCUUUACUGUUAUAAAUAUCUAUAAAUAUAUAUAUAUAAAGAUGGAAAAUCUAUAUAUGUCCAGGUGUUUAAAGCCAUUUGUGCUUCCAUGUGGAUUUUAGGAAAUGCUUAAGUAGGGAAAGAAUAUCUAUAUACAUAUAUAUAUACACCCCAAAAAAGUUAACCAAAUCCUGAUGUUGAGUUUUUGAGCUGAUUGUUAAAUUCUCUGCUGUGUGCAGUUGGGUUAAUGUACUACCCCAGACUUGUGGGUGACCUGUCUCAGUGCUGGUAGUAGCUGUGAUGCAGUUUGUGAUCUACCUGUCACUCUUGUUUAUUGGAUGAAAUAAACUAUCAUUUCUGUAUAAUGAAGGACUCCACGACUAGAAUAAAACCAUCUCUUGCUCUUGC